rnacentral:rRNA from 1 species
UUCACCGAGGAAGGGGAUGGGAAAGGUGGCCUCUGGAUCAAGCUACCGCCCCGGGAUGGGUUCGCGUCCCAUUAGCUUGUUGGUGGGGUCAAGGCCCACCAAGGCGACGAUGGGUAGCCGGCCUGAGAGGGUGAUCGGCCACACUGGGACUGGAACACGGCCCAGACUCCUACGGGAGGCAGCAGUGGGGAAUCUUGGGCAAUGGGCGCAAGCCUGACCCAGCGACGCCGCGUGUGGGAAGAAGGCCCUCGGGUCGUAAACCACUGUCAGGAGGGAAGAAAAGCAGAUCCCCAACAGGGGUCUGUAUUGACGGUACCUCCAGAGGAAGCACCGGCCAACUCCGUGCCAGCAGCCGCGGUAAUACGGAGGGUGCAAGCGUUAUUCGGAAUCACUGGGCGUAAAGCGCGCGUAGGCGGCAGCGCAAGUCAGAUGUGAAAGCCCUCGGCUAAACCGGGGAAUUGCAUCUGAAACUGCGUAGCUAGAGUUCGGGAGAGGGCGGCGGAACUCCCGGUGUAGGGGUGAAAUCCGUAGAUAUCGGGAGGAACACCAGAGGCGAAGGCGGCCGCCUGGACCGAAACU